UGCAAGUCGAACGCACAGCGAAAGGUGCUUGCACCUUUCAAGUGAGUGGCGAACGGGUGAGUAACACGUGGACAACCUGCCUCAAGGCUGGGGAUAACAUUUGGAAACAGAUGCUAAUACCGAAUAAAACUUAGUGUCGCAUGACAAAAAGUUAAAAGGCGCUUCGGCGUCACCUAGAGAUGGAUCCGCGGUGCAUUAGUUAGUUGGUGGGGUAAAGGCCUACCAAGACAAUGAUGCAUAGCCGAGUUGAGAGACUGAUCGGCCACAUUGGGACUGAGACACGGCCCAAACUCCUACGGGAGGCUGCAGUAGGGAAUCUUCCACAAUGGGCGAAAGCCUGAUGGAGCAACGCCGCGUGUGUGAUGAAGGCUUUCGGGUCGUAAAGCACUGUUGUAUGGGAAGAACAGCUAGAAUAGGAAAUGAUUUUAGUUUGACGGUACCAUACCAGAAAGGGACGGCUAAAUACGUGCCAGCAGCCGCGGUAAUACGUAUGUCCCGAGCGUUAUCCGGAUUUAUUGGGCGUAAAGCGAGCGCAGACGGUUUAUUAAGUCUGAUGUGAAAGCCCGGAGCUCAACUCCGGAAUGGCAUUGGAAACUGGUUAACUUGAGUGCAGUAGAGGUAAGUGGAACUCCAUGUGUAGCGGUGGAAUGCGUAGAUAUAUGGAAGAACACCAGUGGCGAAG
rnacentral:rRNA from 1 species